rnacentral:lncRNA from 1 species
UUCCUGCUUUGUUUUUCCGUAUUUAUGUUUGUGGUGGUGGCCGAAUUAUCAUUUUUAUGUUUUUUUACUUUGCUAUGGUGUUGGAGAAAGGUGUAUGAUUUUUAAAGGUGUGUGGUUUCUACUGUGGGUGUAAUUUGUUAUAGUAGAGUUAAGGUUAGCUUGGUGAGAGGUGAGUUUGAGAUUGAAGAAAAUUAUGAAGUACAGGAUGGUAAGAGGUUG